UUGCUUCAGCAGCACAUAUACUAAAUUUGGAACAAUACAAAGAUUAGCAUGGCCCUUGUGCAGGGAUGACAUGCAGAUUCAUGAAGCAUUCCAUAUUUUU
ensembl:snRNA U6 U6 spliceosomal RNA